GCCCUCGCCGCCCUCAUCCGCCCCUCCUCCCACCACCAACGCCGCCGCUCCGCGUUCCAACCCCGCCCGAGCCGCCUCUCCGUCAUGUCCAAAGCCGGCGACCCCGAUCUAUGAUCUCCACCGUCCGUCCCAUCAUCCCCUUAGAUCUCGACGACGCAGGUUCGUAGAAAAAAGAAAAAAAGCAAAAAAGAAAAAGGCAAAAACCAAGCCCCUCUUCUAUACUUCUACUCUACUCCUCCUUCAUCUUCUCUCGACAUCGGCCUCAACAACGCCGUCCGAAUCGAAUCUCGGAGAACUCUACGCUCGGAUUUUAUUCAUUUUUUCCCCUUUUUUUUGUAUCAUCGAAGAGGGAGGCUGUGAGGACGGAAUCAGAACCGUCCGAUUGUACAUAUCUUUUUGUGACAGCCGUUUGAUAUGGCUAUCGAAGGAGAUUUUGACGAUUCUUCAGAACUCGAGGACUCUGGAACACCCCACAAGAAAAAAAAAAACUCAAAAUCAUUAAUUAAUUCAUUAAUUCAGUAAUUCCUUAAUUAAUUAAUCAACAACUAAUUCAUAAUUAAUUCUGGACUUGGGAUGUGUUUAAUUGAUCCGUGAUUGUUUCGUGGAUUUGUGCGAGGUGUUUCCGCCGUUGCGUUCGCCGUCUCCGUCAUCGUGUGGGGCGUCGCGUUAACUGCCGUUUGCCUCCCGUUCGCCGUUCCGUUAACUCCGUCGCCGCCGUGUACGCGUUGCGUUUUCUUCGUAUGGCGGUGGCGUGGAAUCAAUCAAAGCAAGCAAAAGGAGAAACAGCCGUUGUGGACUCAGUUUCGGUUUCUUACGGUGGACAAAUUAAAUUGAAAAUUAUUAAAUAAUUAAUAAGUAAUUAUUAAAGUAAGAUUAAAGGAGUCAUAUAUAAAAUGGAAAAAUUUAAAUCUUUUAUUUAAUUAAAAUGAGUUAAUUUCGGGAGUAAAUCGCGAGGGGAUGGAGAUGGAGAUGGACUGGCCUCUUUCGCAAUUUCCGGAGCAAGGACAAAUUCAGUGCAUAAUUAAUUUGAUAAUUAAAACGAAAAUUAUUGAAUUGAGUUAAUACGGUAUUUAAUAAAUGAACAGGAGAAUCCAACGGCAUAGUGGACAUUGUGCGGUGGAAUAUUUACGUGGACUUUGAUAUUUCGCGCACCUCGAAUUGCGGGUCCGCGCAGUGGUGGAGGACAUUAUUAUUAUUAACAUUGAUCGGACCACCUCGUGAAAUUUAAUUUUCCGGGGGGGCAAAAAUUAAAUGAAACUCUCAUCAGUAAACAAAGUGAAUCUCGUGGAUUUAAAUUUUUAUUUUAUUUUUUCAAAUUUGAAAAUUUGAAUUCAAAUCUUUGAAGCGGAGAGAAAAUUUUAAAUUUCAAGUAGAGAUUGAAGGGUAAAAUUGUAAAUUACAAUCAAAUUGGUUGAGGAGUCUGCGUUAGGUGACGUGUACCCUCUACCAAACUAACCAAACUCGACCUUUCUUUUCCCAUUCACGGAAGCGGGAGUGUGAAGAAGAAGAGCACCGAAAAUGAAGAAAGCGAAACCUCGGGCCGCAUAAACAUUUGUUGUGCGGCGGUUCUGUGUUAUACUACUGACACGUGGGGCCCACAAGCGUGCUCUGAGUGACAAGUGGGACCCACAUCUUCUGUGGGGGUCCAUCACAUGCCAUUCUGACGGCAGAGUUAUGUCACAGGGAUCUCGCUGUGCCAUAAAUCGGGUCAAAAAUGUACAAAAUUUAUGCGCUGCUUAUCUAAUAUUUUAAAGUAUUAAAUUUAAAAUCGAAAAAACUUUCAAUACCA